rnacentral:rRNA from 1 species
CCUACGGGUGGCAGCAGUCGAGAAUCAUUCACAAUGGGGGAAACCCUGAUGCUGCGACGCCGCGUGGGGGAAUGAAGGUCUUCGGAUUGUAAACCCCUGUCAUGUGGGAGCAAAUUAAGAAGAUAGUACCACAAGCGCCAGAGACGGCUAACUCUGUGCCAGCAGCAGCGGUAAUACAGAGGUCUCAAGCGUUGUUCGGAAUCACUGGGCGUAAAGCGUGCGUAGGCUGUUUCGUAAGUCGUGUGUGAAAGGCGCGGGCUCAACCCGCGGACGGCAUAUGAUACUGCGAGACUAGAGUAAGGGAGGGGGAACCGGAAUUCUCGGUGUAGCAGUGAAAUGCGUAGAGAUCGAGAGGAACACUCGUGGCGAAGGCGAGUUCCUGGACAUUAACUGACGCUGAGGCACGAAGGCCAGGGGAGCGAAAGGGAUUAGAUACCCUUGUAGUC